rnacentral:lncRNA from 10 species
GGCGCUUCCAGGAGCAUCAAUCACCGGGAUGAAUGGGAAGCCCGUGUGUGGGAACUGCAGGGGGAGCUGGGUGCAGAGCCACCUCAGCCCUGUCACCCUGCGCGUGUCUCUGCCAUGCUUCCUUGGAUCCCUAUCUACCCCGUUUUGGGUGACAGGACGAGUUGGGCCAGUUACCAGGAUCUUGUCGCCUGGUUCUGAUGGUGUCUUGGUUCCCGGCUGGGGUUUUGUGUUUACCACGAGCGUUGCCUGCUGUCGGGGAGCUGCGUGUGUUUCACAACAAACAGGGAGCCAGGGAGACCACCCUGCGGGGCUGCCCCUUCCCUCAGCGCUUUCUGCUUGGGUCGCUGGCGUCUUGCAGUGCCUUCGUUCGUCUGUGGUGUGAGGUGCUGGUCCAGGCUUACGCGCUAACAGUGAAUUAGAAGGAGAAAACGCUCUGCGAGUGCAGCGGAAGGUCAAUAUGGAGCCUGGUUUGCUUUUAGAAUCUUCCCAAGGCCGAUGGGCUUCCUCUUCCCUCCUGACCAGAGGCUUUGAUGCCCCUGCCCUGGGCUGCCUGGUUCCUGCCCCGAGUCUUCAGAAAGAUCCCCGGGCCUGGAGACUGUGAGUUCAGGUUCAGAUGCCUUGCGUGGCCUGUGAAUCCUGGGUCUGGUCUCUGUCCCCAGGCCGGUGUUCAGGGACCACCUUGAGCACCAAAGGCAGCCCAGUCCGGCUUUGACUCAGCUCCCAGGGCGGAGUCCCUUGCCCAGCACUGGGCAGGAGGAGGGCAUCCUCAGGGCAAGGUCUGCCAUCAGCAGACCAGAGCCAGAGCCCGCAGCCCCUGAGCACUUUCAGAUUCCUGCAGCGCAGAGAGGUUUUCCGGGAGGGAAGGGAGGACCCUGUGGCUGGAGAAAUCCCGCCGCGAACACCCAGCGACCAGGUCUACAGCAGCACCAGGUCUGUGCUUCCCCCUGGUGGUCACAGAUUUUACUACACGCGGCCCACAAGUAAAAUGAGUUUCUCUUCAGUGGCCCGGUUAUCUUCUGUCGUGUAGGAGGAAGUCCAGAGCCACGGAAAUUCGGUAAGGAUCGGAUAAGGGCAAUAAAAUCGCAGCUCUAAAUCUUUUCAUGGAGUUGAAGACAGACGUUUGACUGUGGGAGCCAUCUCAUCUUUAUAACCUGCCUGAGUCGAAGCUGUUAAAGAGGCCAAGAAUUCCCAAGCUUUCCCAGGCAAACGGGGAAGAACACUGGGAUGCCUUUUCCUCCUCCUCUGUCCAUCUGCAGGCCAAGUGUGCAUCAGUCACAGGCAAACUCUGAAUUGAGCUUUGUGCAAGUCUCUGGAAAGAGACCCAAGAUCGUGUGAUGAGCAAAAGUGACAGUGCUGGAGGCAGCGACAUCUGCAGAGCCAGCCCCAUCCCUAUCUGCAGCAGAAUAUGUAUGGGGAUCCUUUAUGUGAACAAUCCACCCAGGGUAGAAUGGGGCUUUUGACAUCAGCUGAGACCCAGGCGGCCUUACAAUGAGAGGGCUGUUGGUCAAAGGAAGGACUGUUUAAUGAACUGAGAAUCUGAGGCCAGCUCUGGCCAUCUGCACUUGGAAUCAUUAGAGCAACUCUACUGUAACUGGCAACCUUGAAUAAUGCAGCAAAUUCAUAUUCCAAAAUUGUGAACUUUAAAAUUUUGUGUUUGUGUCUAUGAUGAAAAGCAUUAUAUAAACAUUUGAUACUACAAUUUUAUUAGUAAGGAAGGCUGAAAAAGUAUCUCUCUUUUGACUCUGAGGUCAAUAAUGAUAAUGGCUUUUCCCCUACACUGGGAUAGAAAUGUUCUGUCAAGGAUAUGAAAACACUUUAUGAAAAUGAAAUUCAUUAAAGCCCUUAAUAAUCAGGUAGGGAAGGCAGGUGCUCACAAUUGUCACCUGUUGGUGAGUGAACACCUUAGGCUCGGGGAGGACAAUGACUCAAGAACAAGGUCGAAUUGCAGGUGGGGGGUGAAGCUGAUCCCUAACAGUGUCCUCCAGCCCCUGGCACUGAGGAAGGACAUGGAGGGCUUGCAUCGACUUUUCCUGGCAGGCUUGUGAUUCCCAGCCAGAAUGCAGGUGGCAAUGUUGUGAUUCCUGGCGUAACCUUCAAUGCUUCAAUGAUAAUCUCUGCUGGUGCCAGGCACCAGCUGAGUGUCACUGUGCAGCUCCCAGGCUUAAGUGAUGCAUGCCGAGGUUUUCAGAGCAGUCUCUCAUUUAUUAGUUGUGUUGGAAAGAAAUCUGUACUACCUAACUGGGUACCUCUGGAUUUUAACAGCUGUGGUUUAUAAGAGAUAUGAGAGGGGGUUUGUUUUCAAAGUGCCUUUCACAAAGUAACACCUUAGACUGUAGUUUACAUUCCAUUCCAGUAGGAUAACUUGCAACACUUCUGUGCUCAGAAAUCCAACUGUGCAAGAAAAGUCAGGUUAUAUUUUCAUACAGCCCGUUCUGGCAAAUAUGCCUUCACACCACUUUCCCUCCUCCUCACCGCUAUUGGCAAUAGUCCCAAUGGAAGAGUUUUAUGUCAAAUGCUGAGUAUCUUGGAAGCUGUCCUGCACAGACACGACUGCUUGGCUGCGUGUUGGAGAGUCGCGGUUGGACUGGGAGACCAGGAAGGUCCCUUCUGGUCUGAGAUGUGAUGACUCUAGAACUAAUUAGUUUCAACUCAUAACACGAAAUGAUACUAGCUACCAUUUGGUGGGCUUUUUCUGUGUUCCAGGCUCUGUGCUAAGAUCUUAGCAUUACUCUAAUUACAAAAUCCCUGCCAAUAUUAUCCUCAGUUUACGCAAGAACAAAUGGGUUUAGGGAAAUCAAAAACUUGUCCAAUGACACAGAUUUAAGAUUUAGCAACUGAUGGCCACGUGGAAAUGGAUUACAGAUUAUUCUAAUUGGACACUCUAAACGUGCAAUUUAACCAGAAUGAAAUUUAGGGCUGCGUGCUGUGGCUCAUGCCUGUAAUCCUAGCACUUUGGGAAGCCAGGUGUAUCCCUUAAGCCCAGGAGUUUGAGAGCAACUUGGGCAACAUGGUGAAACCUGUAUCUACAAAAAAUACAAAAAUUAGCCAGGUGAGGUGGUGUAUGCCUGUAGUUCCAGCUACUUGGGAGGCUGAGAGAUGGGAGGAUUGGUUGAGCCUAGGAGGUCGAGGCUGCUGUGAGCUGUGAUGGUUCCACUGCACUCCAGCCUGGGCGACAGAGACAGACUCCAUCUCAAAAAAAAAAAAAAAAAAAGUAGCUACCUUGUGGUUGCACUCGUCUGAGACUAGCUCAUGGCUCCAGCUCUCAGGGUGGUGAGUAAUGAUUCUGUGGUCAGACGCAGUUUUGAAGUCAGGCAAGAAAACCUUCAACAAGAGUUAGAGAUGUCCUGUCUAUGAAUUUCUCCUCUAGGCUUAGGGAUAGCCCUGGGAUUCAUGUCAUGCCAGUUAGGGAUCCACUCAUUGUAAGCAAUACAAGUGCCCCCGAAGAGACAGUGCAUUAAUUGUCACCCCUUAGGAGCAUUGUGUGAAUUAGUGUGAUUUAGCACAUGCCCAGAGGGAUGAAACUCUAGCUCCAUAGGGUAGGUCCUGAUUACUCCUGGAGCAGGCAGCCAGCUCAGCUCAUGGGGAGCUCUGAGAAGUCUCUCAAUGCCUCGCAUGCAGCCCCUGCUCAGGAGUCAUGUGUCACUUCACAGUCUUGCUUUCCAGUGGGUCAAAGCAUGAUGUUUAUGAGAAACAAAUACACAAAAUUCUGACUUGUGUGAAUACAGAACACGUGCAAUAAAACGACUGCAAUCUAUUUUUAAAAUGUGGUCUGAGAAGUCAGGUUUAAUAUGACUAUGUAAUAUAUAAACAAUAUAUUUUCCACAGAAAGGAAAAUAUAAAUAAUAAAAUAUGUCUAUUUCUUUUUUUUGGUGGAAAAUUACUCCCACAAUUUGGUCCCAAGGGGGUCUUAAUUUGUCAUCAGGUCUGUGGCUAAAUGUCUUAUAAAGGAAUGCUUCUUUCUUUCGAGAAGUGUACAGGAACAGUCUGCACUGACUGCUUUUACCUGUAAAUGUUUUGAGAAUUCAGAAGUCACUUUCCUUCCACAAUAGGUGCUAGGCAUUUUAUUUAAAUAAAGCAAAAACAUUUCUGUCAUAAAGAAGGUGUUAAUAACCUCAAAGCUAUGCGAAAUAUACUAGUACAAUCUAAUACUCAUGGUGAAAAAUACAGUAAUUAAGAGCAAUUCAAGUUUUUUUGUUUUGGUUUAACUUCAGAAUUAAAAUAAACUCAGAAUUAAAAAAAUAAAAAAUGGUUUUAUUACAUGUCAGAGUAUUGAGAUACAAAAUAUAUACCAGAU